GGGAUUUUAGCUCAGCUAGGAGAGCAUCUGUCUUACAAGCAGAGGGUCAUAAGUUCGAGCCCUGUAGGUUCCA
rnacentral:tRNA from 1 species